rnacentral:snoRNA from 1 species
CGGACCAAUGGUGAUGACUGGUGGAGUAUGAGUUAUGGAUGAUGAAUACUGUGUGCCUGUUUAU